rnacentral:rRNA from 1 species
UACGUAGGGUGCAUGCGUUAAUCGGAAUUACUGGGCGUAAAGCGUGCGCAGGCGGUUGUGCAAGACCGAUGUGAAAUCCCCGGGCUUAACCUGGGAAUGGCAUUGGUGACUGCACGGCUAGAGUGUGUCAGAGGGGGGUAGAAUUCCACGUGUAGCAGUGAAAUGCGUAGAGAUGUGGAGGAAUACCGAUGGCGAAGGCAGCCCCCUGGGAUAACACUGACGCUCAUGCACGAAAGCGUGGGGAGCAAACAGG